ACCAAGGGGCAGCUUUCGAAUCUUCACUGUUGGAUCACUUGUGUCAGCUGUAUGGGUGUAUGAAGUUACGCACGACCCCUUACCACCCUCAGGGGAACGGGGCGUGCGAACGUUUCAAUCAGACGUUGCUAUCGCUGCUGGGUUCCUUGGAGGAACAAAACAAGGCUCAUUGGCCAGAUCAUCUACCGGCGCUCCUCCUGGCAUACAACACCACAGUACACUCCAGCACAAGUAUGACCCCAUACUUUGUCAUGUAUGGUAGGCAUGCAAGGGUGCCGGUAGACAUAGCCACCGGCCCAGUACCAUAGCCAGAGACGGCAGGAACGAGAUAAACAGCGUUAUGACCGUAGGAGCCGAGCAGUACCUUUGCUACCUGGUGAAAGAGUGCUGGUGAGAAACUUCCGGAGACGCUCCCAUGGGAAACUGGCCCCUCAUUGGCAACCAACACCCUUUGUGGUCAUUGCCCAGGUCCACUCAGGCCAACCGGUCUAUAAGAUACGCCCAGAAGGAAGGUCAGGACCAGAAAAGACCAUACACCGUAACAACUUGCGCCCCUGCACCUGGGAACCGGAAACAGCCACCAGCGUUCCAGCUACAGAGCCACCAUCGGAACGUCCAGCAGAUGGUCUGAAUCCAGCCCAAGUGCCAGAGCCUCUAGGUGCCAAUCAGCCCGGGCCGUCCACUCAAUUGGCUACUCCCCAGGGUGAGGAAGUACAGAACCCCUUCCGGCGCUCCCAACGGGAGUCCCAAGGCAUCUUGCCAAGAAGGUACAGACAAUAGUAGUCAAGGGGACUGACCACUAAAACAG